UGGCACUUCCCCUUCCUCUGCCCUGUAUCUUCUCGGUUGAUCAUGGCCUGAAUUUCCAUUUCCUCAUGUAUGUGAGACGACCUAUGAAGCCUCCCCACCUGACUCACCCUGGAUCCUGGUAGAUGCAGCAGAGUAAGAAAAUAAAUGAGCCAGAAUCCAAAGGGUACUGGCUGAUUUGGCAGGAGGCCUCUUUAUUGAACUUAAACAUGGGGCGUGAACAUCCUAGUCCUAAAUCACUGCAGCCACUUUAGUCUCUGUGGUUCCUAUGGGAACCAGAAACAUCAGCCAGCUUCUCUGCACUAGGAACAUGAUUCAUUAGUCAUGCCUCAUCAGCAGCGCCCAGGUUCAGUCAGUGCCUGUGCUAGACUGGACUUGCUUUCCAGAUACCUCAAGGGCCUGAGUGACUCCAGGACAGAGCGUAGAAAGGGUGUUUGGGUCAUGGAUAGACCAGAAGUCAUGCAGUCACUGCCUCAAUCUCUAGGAAUUACUGGUAUCCAGACGUGGCUUUGGAACCUUUCUCCAAAAGGGCCUUCAGACAAUUGAUCAGUUUAGCUCAUGAGGAGAAUCCAGGUUGCUGUUUUUGGUCCAGGAGGUCAACUUAAGAAGUCCAAUUUUUUGUAACCACUAAUGUAUGAUAAAACAUUUUAGUGUUGUCCAUUUAAGUCACUUAAUACAGACACUUUACCUUUGGACCCUUCCUCCUUAUAAAUUCUAUCCUUUGUAAGUUGGGUUUCCCAGGUGGCACUGCUGUUACAGAACCCACCUGUCAAUGCAGGAGGCAUAAGAGAUGCGGUUUUUCAAUCCCUGUUUUGAGGAGAUCCCCUGGAGGAGGGCAUGGCAACUCACUACGGUAUUCUUGCUUGGAGAAUCCCAUGGGCAGUGGAGCUUGGCGGGCUAUAGUACAUAGGUUUGCAAAGAGUGGGACACAACUGAAGCGACUUAGCCUCCUUUGUAAAUUAGGGACAGUGGGUGCAGUGGAAAGCUAUUGCCCUUUAGGUUAGAAUGCCUACUAAUGACUGUGAGUCAGCCACUUAAUGCCUCCUGACCUCACUCUUAAUCAACUGUAAGAUGGGGAGUCUUCAGUAGAAACACUUCAGUGUGUCUGGACAGUGACAUUUAUGUAAAAUUCAUAAUGUGUUGUCUGUAUUUUUGGGUCACCAGCAACUAUAAAACACUCCAUUUAGCUUUUGAAAAACGAUUUGGAAAGCUUUGCCUCAACUUGCCUAUUCUUGGUCAGGUUUUUCUGACUUAAUAGUCUUGUUAAGCACCACUUAAAAUCUAACCAGAAUCCAGGGCUCUUAUUAUCUCUUAAUCCUUACAUUAAUUGCAUAUAUAUUAGACAACCUGGUUCUAUUUGCUUAAAGUUUACACCGCUUUCCCCUUCAUUGGCAUUCAGCCGAGCAUCUCUAGAGUGUAGUCAUUCUGCACAGAUGAAGGGAAAUGUGACCUCAGCUCCCCUGAGCUGAAUGCUUUCUCAAUU
rnacentral:lncRNA from 1 species